AUUAACCCAAAACCCGAUAGAUGAAUAAAAGGAAAAAUACUUAAAGAAAGAGUUGAAGUUUCAUGAGUGAAAUAGUUUUGUCUGAUGAUGACAUAAUGGAAAUAAUUUGAUUUUGGCACAUUGCUGCAGAAAUGACAAGAGCCUUUCUCCCCACCGAAUGCUGUGUGUGGGUCUGAAGUGCUGGAAGAAGCUUAUGUAGUUAGUUCAAAGGAUCCGAAAACUGUGGAGAAGUAGGAGGUUGAGUUUUCCUUAGCAGAGAAUGAACAUCCUCCCCCUCCUUUGUGAUUACUGAGGGAAGGCUUUUCAAUUAAUUUCUUUCACAUCUUCGUUGUCCGGGAUUUUAUGUGAGACAAGAACCUCAGUAGACAAAAUGUCAAUAGAAUAAGUGGCCUACAUUCCAGACCUGGCCAUGAACCAUUUGGAGGGACCACCUGAGGGGAAGGUGAAUGACGAACCAGCAAACGGAGAGGUGAACGAGUCAGUGGAGGCUGACCUGGAGCACUUUGAGGUGGAGGAGGAGCAGCAGCAGUAUGCCGCUCAUUACCCGAGACAUGCCAAUGGCAGCCAAGAAGGACAGUCUGGGCAGGAGGAGGAGGGGAUGCUUGCUCGGUCAGCCAGUACAGAGAGUGGCUUCCACAAUCACACUGAUACUGCUGAAGGGGAUGUCAUAGCCACAGCAGAGGAUGGCUAUGACACAGACAGAGUCCAGGAAAAUGAGGAUGAGAGCGCCUACGCAGUGCAGUAUAGGCCUGAGUCUGAAGAGUACACAGAAAAUGCCGAGGCAGAGCAUGCUGAGGCCAUUCAGACCCGAACUCUACCUAACCACUUACACUUUCACUCCAUUGAACAUGAGGAAGCCAUGAAUGCCGCCUACUCGGGGUAUGUCUACACUCAUGGGCUCUUCCACCGAGGGGAGGAUGAACAGUAUGCUGAGCCCUACGCCGACUAUGGACUGCAGGAGCAUGUGUACGAGGAGAUAGGAGAUACACCUGACCUGGAUGUCAGGGAGGGACUACGACUCUAUGAGCAGGAGAGGGAGGAAGCUGACAACUAUCGCAAGGAAGCUCUGGGUGCCCGCCUUCAUCACUAUGAUGAACGGUCUGAUGGAGAGUCUGACAGCCCUGAGAAGGAGGCAGAAUUUGCUCCCUAUCCAAGGAUGGAUAGUUAUGAACAAGAGGAAGAUAUUGAUCAAAUUGUGGCUGAGGUCAAACAGAGCAUGAGUUCUCAGAGCCUGGACAAGGCCGCUGAAGAUAUGCCAGAAGCAGAACAGAACUUGGAAUGUGACCAUACUCCCGGUAGUGGGACUCUCGAGAGCAAUGGUCAGCUCCCAGCUGGCUCCAGGCCCACGGUCAACUCAGGAGAGUCAGUGCAGAGAUACAGCAAGGAGAAAAGGGAUGCAAUAUCUCUGGCUAUUAAAGAUAUUAAAGAAGCUAUUGAGGAAGUGAAGACAAGGACCAUUCGUUCUCCUUACACCCCAGAUGAACCAAAAGAACCCAUCUGGGUGAUGAGACAGGACAUCAGCCCAACCAGGGAUUGUGAUGAUCAGAGGCCACUAGAUGGAGAUUCUCCAUCUCCUGAUUCCUCUUCACCCCGUGGUGCUGAAUCGUCAAGUAGGCAACAUCACCAAGAUGUCUGUGGUACAGCAGAACCUUCCACUAAUAAAGAGUCCAGAAAAAGUUUGGCUUCAUUCCCAACCUAUGUUGAAGUUCCUGGACCCUGUGAUCCUGAAGACUUAAUUGAUGGAAUUAUUUUUGCUGCCAAUUACCUUGGCUCUACUCAACUCCUUUCUGACAAAACUCCCUCCAAGAAUGUGCGAAUGAUGCAGGCUCAGGAAGCUGUCAGCAGAAUCAAGAUGGCCCAGAAAUUAGCCAAAAGCAGGAAGAAGGCCCCAGAAGGUGAAUCUCAGCCCAUGACUGAGGUGGACCUCUUUAUCUCUACGCAGAGAAUAAAAGUGUUGAAUGCAGACACACAGGAAACUAUGAUGGAUCAUCCUCUGAGGACCAUUUCCUACAUUGCAGAUAUAGGGAAUAUUGUUGUGCUGAUGGCUCGGCGGCGAAUGCCUCGAUCUAAUUCCCAGGACAAUGUGGAGGCAUCUCACCCUUCUCAGGACGGAAAGAGGCAAUAUAAAAUGAUUUGCCAUGUCUUUGAAUCUGAGGAUGCACAGCUGAUUGCACAGUCCAUAGGUCAAGCCUUUAGCGUGGCCUACCAGGAAUUCCUGAGGGCAAAUGGAAUAAAUCCAGAAGACCUGAGCCAGAAGGAGUACAGCGACCUGCUCAACACUCAAGACAUGUACAAUGAUGACCUCAUUCAUUUUUCCAAGUCUGAAAACUGCAAAGAUGUUUACAUUGAAAAGCAAAAGGGAGAAAUUCUAGGUGUCGUGAUUGUGGAAUCUGGCUGGGGAUCCAUCUUGCCCACAGUUAUUAUAGCCAACAUGAUGCAUGGAGGACCAGCAGAGAAGUCGGGAAAGCUGAACAUAGGGGAUCAAAUCAUGUCAAUUAAUGGUACCAGCUUGGUUGGCUUACCACUCUCAACAUGCCAGAGUAUUAUAAAGGGUUUGAAAAACCAGGCCCGGAUUAAACUGAAUAUAGUGAGAUGUCCUCCAGUAACCACCGUCUUGAUCAGAAGACCUGACCUCCGAUAUCAGCUGGGUUUCAGUGUACAGAAUGGGAUCAUCUGUAGCCUUAUGAGAGGAGGUAUAGCAGAGCGAGGAGGAGUACGAGUGGGCCAUCGGAUCAUUGAAAUCAAUGGACAGAGUGUUGUAGCAACGCCCCAUGAAAAGAUCGUUCACAUUCUCUCAAAUGCUGUUGGUGAGAUUCAUAUGAAGACCAUGCCAGCGGCCAUGUACAGAUUGUUGACUGCGCAGGAGCAGCCAGUUUACAUCUAAGGCUGAUACCUCACCUUCACAACAUGCAUGGAGGAUGUUUCUCCUCGUCAGUGGUUGUGUUUCUAGUACUGCAUUUCUGUGUCUGCAGAGACAUCUCUAUCUCUGUCUUCUCUCCAACAUUUUGCUGUGUACAGGGAAAAAAAAUUCCAUGAGACUUUUUUUGGUUGCAUCUUUUUGCAUUAUGUAAUUCCUCACAGAGUAGAAAAAUUAGUUAUUCACAGCUAGUUUAACAAAGGACUGAUUGCACUUCUUCAAGCUCCGUCAUCAGUCAUAUAUCUAUGGCCAUAACUCGACAACACAAAUACAUUAAGUAUUACUAAAUUAGAAAGCUUGCUUUACAAAUAGAUCAAACCACAGGGUAAAGUUCUCCUCUUGGACUCCACAUAGAAGAUUUUUGACUCCAUUAAUCUGUUCUCUGUGUGUGCACUGAGCGUAACAUUACCAACAAAGAGUUCAACAUACACAGGGAGAGCAGAGAACCAAGGGGAUAGUUCUGCCCUAAAGGAGGAGUUAAAAGUCUAUGAAGAAUGAGUUAAUGAUUCCAUCUGUGAUCAGGGGCCCAAUUUUUCCUUCAAAAACAAUGGACUGAGUGGAGAGAAAGAAGAUAAACUUUUUAUUUCAACUGGCAGCAAAUACUGGAACUAUUUGAGGGAGAUAGUGGAAUGGUGAGUAAGCUGUUGUAGUAAAUGAAUAUGUUUUGGUGUAAGAGUACUGUACAAUUACUUGAUGUACAGCAGUUCUUGUUGUUAGGUAAUCAGAUCCCAAUCUCUGGAAUAACAAACUUUACAAGGGCAUGGUGGUAUUAUUCCAGAUUAGUAUUUGCUCUGCCGUCAGACAGAUGCAAAUAGAUUGUGAAUUACGUGUGAGUAGAGAUUUUAUUGUCAGGCAUCUGGUUUAUGAAGGUCAUAGGAACACUUUUUUUCAUAACUUCCCAUCUGUAUAGUAAUAUAUGUAAAUAUGAUAUAUACCAUGUAUAAUUUAGAAGAUUAUAUACAGUGCAGCCUUUCCAUAAGUUGCCUGAGUGAAAAGCUACUCUUGAAGACCUGGUUACCACAUGGCUGGUUCCCAACUUUAACUCCCAUAUUAAUUUUCUGCUUUUGUGGCUCUAGCCAACUCCCAUUGAGGAAUAUCCAUCGACUUCAAUGGAAGAUGGAUUAAGCCCUCAGUAUGCAAAUGAAUAUAGGGUUGUAACAGUGAUUGAUUCUUAGUAACUAAGGGUCCUAUCCUGCAAACGCAUGUGUGCUUAACUUUAGGCACCUGAGUAACCCAUUGACUUCACUGGGACUGCACAUGUGAGUGAGUAUAAACUAAGCAUGUGAGUGCAGGAUUGGGGCCUCACUGAGAAUGUGAAUUGUUCUAUUACAAUAGACGUAUUAUGAUUUCUAAGCAGGGACAGAUAGAUAGUGUAAGCACUCCUAAUGUAAACAGUCCCACAAGUGCAGCCUGGAAAGGGAAAGCGUGUUUCAGAAAUACAAUGAACUCAAAAGGGAGAGUUGACACCUCCGUAGUCUGUUGUUUUUUCCACUGAUGUUUAAAAGAUGUUAGAGCAGCUGUUUAUGUUAGUAUUUUAGAUGAGUGAAAUCCUCCAUGGGUUGAAAGAAAUAACCUACCAUUUUACAUUCCUUCUCUUCCGUGAAGGUCCUGCAAAGCUGUCCCUUCACUGUUUAGUACAAUAUUACUAACUUUUCAGUGUUUACAUUAAGGAUGAAAUGUCCUUUAAUUUUUUUUAUUGGUAGUUUCACACUUAUUUGUUUGACUCUCUUUAUAAUUUAAGGCUUGGUUUGUAUUUCUUGAGUGCAGAUUUUUUUUUAAUUUUCUAAAUGAAAUCUGUUUAUGAAGAUGGCAGUGUGGGUGAGAUUUCUUGUAUAUAUUUAGCACAGUACUUAGAAUAUGAAGUUUUACUAUUGUUCUGUAAAGAGGGUGAAUAGAAAUUAUUGUAAAGCGUUGGGGAAAGUAUAGUAUUGUAUUUGUAACAAUAUUGUUCUUUGUAAACACUAAACUCAAUCUCUAUAUAUAAAUAUAAAUAUAUAUAUAUAAAUAUAUGUGAGCCUGGAAUGUUGAUACUGCACAUCUACUGAAUGUAAUUCCUCUGACGUUUUUUGUCACAGGUCUCUGACCCUCUGUCUGUAACGCAGCUCCAGUGGUUUGAUUGAUUUUUUUGCCAGCUGUUUUGUUGUGAUGUAUUUACUGUGCUACAUUCCUUUAUUUAAUGGAGCGCUAAUGUCGGUGAGA